CUAGUUUUAGUGCUAGUAGGCCUAUUAAAAGGUGCAGAUUAAUUCAGGUAGGACUGUGUGUAGACAUAUUUUAUUAUGUGUAUUAUGAGGUGGUCCGCGAAAAUUCUUGAUAAGAAAUAGUUGUCCACACACACAAAUCGUUUGAAAACCCCUGUAUUAGAAGGAGAAA